rfam:Vitis vinifera, whole genome shotgun sequence of line PN40024, unoriented chromosome 18, chr18
UCUCUAUGACGAUUAACAGUGAUGACGAGUCUGAUCUCUACAUACUCCAUUCUAUUCAUCCUGCUGACAAAUCGAGGCAUUUGUCUGAGAGAA